rnacentral:tmRNA from 1 species
GCCCUUUUCUUGGCGCACGUUAAGACCUAUAUCUCCCCUGCCGUCUUCGGGCGGCUAUGGUGAUAAACAGGCGAUGGAAUAAGCCUAUUGGACCCGGGGGCGGUACCCGGCGCCUCCACCAAAAACCGGUCAGGAAUCACUUACCGACCGGCUUUUGAUGGGGGCGAAAUAGGAUCGACAAGGGUGUAAAGAUCGACUUUUUGCUCGGCAUUGUACCACCGUUAUCGGGCUAAAAUUGUAGUUGCAAACGACAACUAUGCGGAAGCUCGUCUCGCUGCUUAAUCGCAGUGUGACACUUCAAAUCAAGUCCUUCCGGUUCGCACCGUAAGGCGGGGUUCGGAGGUACCUGGCAACAGAAACCUCCACU